UACGGGGGGGGCAAGCGUUGUUCGGAAUUACUGGGCGUAAAGGGCGCGUAGGCGGCCAGACAAAGUCGAGCGUUAAAUUCCAGGGCUUAACCCUGGGCUGUUGCUCGAUACUAGUCGGCUAGAGUGUGGAAGAGGGUGCUGGAAUUCCCGGUGUAGCGGUGAAAUGCGUAGAUAUCGGGAGGAACAUCAGUUGCGAAGGCGGCUCUCUGGACCAGCACUGACACUGAGGCACGAAAGCGUGGGGAGCAAACAGG
rnacentral:rRNA from 1 species